GCAUAGAGGGCUGCGCCUAUCAGCUGUAGGGGGUGUAAAUACCCUCUAGCCAUCAACGCGUACCGGUUGUUGGGAGACAUUGCCCCGGAGAUGGAGUCUGAGACACGAAUCCAGACCAUACGGGGUGCAGCAGGCGCGAAAACUUGGCAAUGCGAGAAAUCGUGACCAGGGAACUCCAAGUGCGUAGGGUAAGACCUACGCUUUUCUUGACUCUUCAAAGGUCUUGGAAUAAGGGGUGGGUAAGGACGGUGCCAGCCGCCGCGGUAAUACCGGCGCCUCAAGUGGUAGUCGCUUUUAUUGGGCCUAAAACGUCCGUAGCCGGUCUGGUGCAUUCGUGGGUAAAUCAACCCGCUCAACGGGUUGAAUUCUGCGAGCACGGCCAGACUUGGGACCGGGAGAGGUGUGGGGUACUCUCAGGGUAGGGGUAAAAUCCUGUCAUCCUGAGAGGACCACCUGUUGCGAAGGCGCCACACUAGAACGGAUCCGACGGUCAGGGACGAAACCUAGGGGCACGAACCGGAUUAGAUACCCGGGUAGUCCUAGGUGUAAACGCUGUGGACUUGAUUUUGGGGGCGCUCCGAGCGCUCUCAGUGUCGAAGCGAAGGUGAUAAGUCCACUGCCUGGGGAGUUACGUUCGCAAGGCUGAAACUCAAAUGAAUUGACGG
rnacentral:rRNA from 1 species